CGGGACGGGUGGGUAAUGUCUGGGAAACGUGCCUGAUGGAGGGGGAUAACUACUGGAAACGGUAGCUAAUACCGCAUAACGUCGCAAGACCAAAGAGGGGACCUUCGGGCCUCUUGCCAUCGGAUGUGCCCAGAUGGGAUUAGCUAGUAGGUGGGGUAACGGCUCACCUAGGCGACGAUCCCUAGCUGGUCUGAGAGGAUGACCAGCCACACUGGAACUGAGACACGGUCCAG
rnacentral:rRNA from 1 species